CCUUUGAAAAAUAACGGAAACCACACGACUGUUAAUCGAGUGGCCGUAGGUUCGAAUCCUACUCAGGGAGCCA
rnacentral:tRNA from 1 species